AACCUCCGCAAUGUGAGAAAUCGCGACGGGGGGAUCCCAAGUGCCAUUCUUAACGGGAUGGCUUUUCAUUAGUGUAAAGAGCUUUUGGAAUAAGGGCUGGGCAAGACCGGUGCCAGCCGCCGCGGUAACACCGGCAGCUCUAGUGGUAGCAGUUUUUAUUGGGCCUAAAGCGUCCGUAGCCGGUUUAAUAAGUCUCUGGUGAAAUCCUGUAGCUUAACUGUGGGAAUUGCUGGAGAUACUAUUAGACUUGAGACCGGGAGAGGUUAGAGGUACUCCCAGGGUAGAGGUGAAAUUCUGUAAUCCUGGGAGGACCGCCUGUUGCGAAGGCGUCUAACUGGAACGGUUCUGACGGUGAGGGACGAAAGUUAGGGGCGCGAACCGGAUUAGAUACCCGGGUAGUCCUGGCCGUAAACGAUGUGGACUUGGUGUUGGGGUGGCUUUGAGCUGCUCCAGUGCCGAAGGGAAGCUGUUAAGUCCGCCGCCUGGGAAGUACGGUCGCAAGACUGAAACUUAAAGGAAUU
rnacentral:rRNA from 1 species